rnacentral:rRNA from 1 species
CAGUAGCCGCGGGAAUACGUAGGUGGCAAGCGUUGUCCGGAAUUAUUGGGCGUAAAGCGCGCGUAGGUGGUUUGUUAAGUCUGAUGUGAAAGCCCCCGGCUCAACCGGGGAGGGUCAUUGGAAACUGGGAAACUUGAGUGCAGAAGAGGAGAGUGGAAUUCCACGUGUAGCGGUGAAAUGCGUAGAGAUGUGGAGGAACACCAGUGGCGAAGGCGACUCUCUGGCCUGUAACUGACGCUGUGGAGCGAAAGCGUGGGGAGCGAACAGGAUUAGAUACCCCUGUAGUCCCUGUCUCUUAUAC